rnacentral:rRNA from 1 species
CCUACGGGAGGCAGCAGUGAGGAAUAUUGGUCAAUGGUCGGGAGACUGAACCAGCCAAGCCGCGUGAGGGAUGAAGGUCCAGAGUAUCGUAAACCUCUUUUGUCAGGGCACAAAGGCGCGGACGUGUCCCCGGAUGAGUGUACCUGAAGAAAAAGCAUCGGCUAACUCCGUGCCAGCAGCCGCGGUAAUACGGGGGAUGCGAGCGUUAUCCGGAUUUAUUGGGUUUAAAGGGUGCGCAGGCGGUCUGUUAAGUCAGCGGUAAAAGCACGGAGCUCAACCCCGUCCAGCCGUUGAAACUGGCAGUCUUGAGUUGGAGAGAAGUAUGCGGAAUGCGUGGUGUAGCGGUGAAAUGCAUAGAUAUCGCGCAGAACUCCGAUUGCGAAGGCAGCAUGCCGGCUCCACACUGACGCUGAGGCACGAAAGCGUGGGUAUCGAACAGGAUUAGAUACCCUUGUAGUC